GCUCUAUUAGCAUAGCGGCAAGUGCAUCCGGCUUUCUACCGGACGACAAGGGUUCGAUUCCCUUAUGGAGUA
rnacentral:tRNA from 1 species